AUCAUAUAUUUGAUAUAUUUUAUUUAUUAAUAAUAUUGUUUUAACAAAUAAAUUAUUAAAAAUAAUUAUUUUUUGAAUUGUUUAAGUAUUUUUUAAAGAAAUAAUAAUUUUAUUAUAGAGAAAUAGUAAUGUGAAUGAAAAUUGAAAUAGAUUGAAAAAUUAUUAGUUAAUAAGAAGUUUUUAUUUAACGUACCUUGUGUAUCAGGGUUUAUUAAAUAAAAAAUAAAGAUUUAUUUUUCCCGAUUUUUAAAGAGUUAAUAAAUUAUUUAAGUUAAUGUAAUAAAAUUAUUUAUAAUAGUUUAUUAGAAAUGAAAUGUUAUUCGUUUUUUAAGGUAUCUGGUUUUUUCAGAAAUAAAUUUAAUUUAGGAUAUAAUUGUACAACCUUAAUUUUUUAGGGGUUUAUAUAUUAAGUCUAAUAUUUUAUGGGAUAAGCUGUAAAAUAAAUAUUUAAAAAUAAAAAUAAUUAAUAAAAUUUGUAUGCUUAGAAUUAGCAAUCAAUAAAAAAAUUGUUAUAAAUUAUUAAAAAAUUUAUAUUAUUUAUUAAAUUUUAAUUAUUUAUGGAAAUAUUUAUUUUAACAUAAAAAAUAAAGAAAUUAUGAUAAAAUUAGUAUAUUGUUGUUGUAAAGAUAAUAUAAAAUGAAAAGUUUUUUUAAAGAAUUCGGCAAAAUAAUGCUCGCCUGUUUAACAAAAACAUGUCUUUUUGAAUUAAAUUUAAAGUCUAGCCUGCCCACUGAAUUUUAAAUGGCCGCAGUAUAUUAACUGUGCAAAGGUAGCAUAAUCAUUAGUCUUUUAAUUGAAGGCUGGAAUGAAUGGUUGGACGAGGUAUUAACUGUUUCAAUAAAAUUUAUUAUAGAAUUUUAUUUUUUAGUCAAAAAGCUAAAAUUUUUUUAAAAGACGAGAAGACCCUAUAAAUCUUUAUAUUUAAUUUAUUUUAUUUUUUAAGAUUUUUUUUAGUAUAAUAAUGAUAAUAUUUUAUUGGGGUGAUAUUAAAAUUUAAAAAACUUUUAAUUUAUAAACUCAUUGAUUUAUGAAUAAAUGAUCCGUUAUUAACGAUUAAAAAUUUAAGUUACUUUAGGGAUAACAGCGUAAUUUUUUUGGGGAGUUCAUAUCUAUAAAAAAGAUUGCGACCUCGAUGUUGGAUUAAGGUAUUGUUCUAGGCGCAGCCGCUUAGAAUUUAAGUCUGUUCGACUUUUAAUUCCUUACAUGAUCUGAGUUCA
rnacentral:rRNA from 1 species